rnacentral:lncRNA from 1 species
GCAUCGCGUGACAGGGACUUCCGGCCCCUCGCCCGCGUUUUUUGCGGUUCUUGGGGAUCCCUGGCGCAGCGUUGAGACGCGCAUGACAGAACGGAGCAGGCAUGGCGAGAGCCAUGCUCACAGCCGAGACGCGGGCUAGCGGCUCGGCGACGUUGCCGGUGCUGCUCUGCGCCGGGGCCCGGACAGGCACCGCCCGCCCGGGUGUCCGCUCCGCCCAUGGAGUCCGAUGGCGACGGCCGCGCGCAGGGACCCGGCUGAGAGUUCCAGGACUGCAGAAAUACUUAGGGAACCAACACAGGGGCUUGUCUGUGCUUCCUGUAUCAGGACCAUGGACACUGCUUCUUGCCCCAGCUCCCCAAGUAUGUGCUGUGGCUGGUAAGGCUGAGGUGGUUGGUGUGGAGGAGACCACGAGGAGGAGCAUUUCUGUAGGCGUGCCACAGGUGAGGACUCCAAGGCAGGUGUGUCUGCCCAGAAGGCCUGCUCCUAGGAGAUACGAAGCCUCGUCUCGAGGGACAUUUAUGUGCACCAGGGAGCACAUACCACGCGGAGGCUGUACACCCAUGGGGCAGGUGGGCAGUGAAUGUUUUAUUGCAGACCUCCUGUAG